rnacentral:misc_RNA from 1 species
AUUAUUAUUAUUAUUAUUAUUUUCAAUACUGUGUUUUCAAUAUUAUUUUAAGUAGAGAAAGGGAAAGAGAUAAUAAAGAAAGAAGUGCAGUGUGUAGGUGUAAUCGUAACUCAGAAACGAACAAAUUAUCAUCUUUCUUCAACAUUUCUGAACUCCGAUAGUCUCCAAAAUUCAAAAAAUGGAUAAAUUCUUAAUCCAACCACUAAUCGCUGUGUUAAUCUCUUCUUUAAUCGCUAUUGGAGCUUACAGGAGAAAAUCUCUCGACUUAUCUGGUGCAGUUACCGGAUUUCUUGUUAUGACCAUUCACUUCGCAAUCAAUUACAGGUCACUUCUUUAACUCUUUUUCUUUUUCUCUACCGUGUUUGGUUCCUGAGAAAUCCCAGAAAGUUUAUGCUUCUAUUUUGUUUUAUUUUAAUAAUAUUUGUUGAAUUUAGUUUUGGAGCUAUAUUGCUUGCCUUCUCCUUCUCUUCAUCGGAAAUUACGAAGGUUGGGGAGGAGAAGAAGAGGCGCAUUGAUGCUGAUUUCAAGGAGGGCGGACAAAGAAAUUGGAUACAAGUUCUGUUUAAUAGUGGUAUUUCUACAGUUUUGGCUGUGGUUUUUUGGAAGCUAAGUGGAUUGCAGGACAAGUGCUUGGACACAAAAGAAUCAACUGUUAUCACAUCUUUAAUUGGUGGUAUUAUUGGCCAUUAUUCUUGUUCCAAUGGAGACACUUGGUCUUCAGAGCUCGGGGUGCUUAGUGAUGCACAACCUCGUUUGAUCACAACCUUUAAGCCUGUUCGGAAGGGUACAAAUGGCGGGGUAACAAUGGUAGGACUUGUAGCAGCUGCAGCAGCAGGAAGUGUUAUUGGACUCACAUUUGUUCUCUUUGGAUUUUUCACAAGAAGCUGUGAAUAUGAUGUAGCUCUGAAGCAGAUCUUGGUCAUACCCCUAGCUGCAAUGGCAGGAUUAUGUGGGAGUCUUAUAGAUUCGCUAUUGGGAGCUACGCUGCAAUUCAGCGGAUUCUGCACUGUUCGUAAUAAAGUUGUUGGAAAACCAGGACCAACAGUGAAGAAAAUUUCGGGGCUUAACUUUCUUGAUAACAAUGCUGUGAAUCUUGUUUCGAUACUGUUGACCUCAUUGCUGACUUCCAUUGCGUGUGUAUACAUUUUCUAAACUGAUAUUUUCAGUCAAGUUUUGUUGUAAUGUUGAGAUUGCACAUGUGAAUUGUGCUUUUGCAACUGAAUAAUGUAUCAAUUGUAAGGAGAACUUUAAUCUAGCCGUUUUGAGAAGCUUGAUGAUGCUGGUCUAUAAAGAUGGAAGUACGAUGUAAUCGAGCCGAGUAAAAAUAUGUACUUACAAGUUUGAGUUGGACUUGGUUUGAAUUUUAUAACGAAGUGGAGUAAAUAUAGUGUCAAGCUCAAGUUCAAUUCGGUUCUGAAAUUUGAGCUUCGAACUCAAGGCAACUUUGAGUUUUAUUAUUAUUAUUUGAGCUUGAAUUAAG